AGAUCAUGCAACUUGUCGAAAGCAAACUUGAUGAUCUGCCUUCUACCAAACUCAUUGACUUCCUCAGAGGUAAAAUCCAAACGCUGGAGAAAGACAAAAAAGAGAUAGUGGGUGUUUUUGGGAAGACUGGAGCUGGUAAGAGCUUCUUGAUUAACACCAUCUUGGGUGAGACAAAAUUGCUGCCCUCUGGAAACCAAGGGGCAUGCACCUCGGUCAUGAUUCAGAUGGAGGCCAAUAUGACAGACUCGAAGUACAUGGCAGAGAUUGAGUUUAUCACAGAGAAGGAAUGGAAAGAGGAGCUAUGGUCCAUCUUCAGAGACAGAUCUCAUGAGGAUGGAAAUGAUGAAGACCAGGAAAGGGAUGAUGGCGAUAAUGAAAAUAUAUCAGCUUUGUAUGGAAAAGAUGGACGUGGGGCAACCUUAGAAGAAUUAAUGGACAGAACGCACUUCAGAGAAAUUCCAGAGUUUCGUUUAUCAGUGUAACGGUCGUCGUUUGUAGUUGAAGAGGAAGUGGACCAAAAUGCAGCGUGAAACACUUCAGUGGGGGAAAGGAUUUCCUUCAGGUGUUUACUGUGAGUUCCAAGGAAUACCAAAAGGAAAAGCAUUUCCAACAAGAAGAGACAGAAAUACCCAAACUUCAGGAAUUUCUCAGAAAUCUCAAUGAUCGCCGCACAAAGACUUCAGGCUAUGUUUCUGGAGCCUAUGGGAUUGUCACGGCCGUCGUAAGGAUUGGACCAAAAUGCAGCGGACAGACAGCAAAGAAGAGGUGUGCCAGGUGGAACAGUGGCACAAGGAUAAGAUCAAGUCCAUUGGUCAAACUAUGGAUGAGGCUUAUGAGACUUUUGAAUGAUGCUUCUCAGAAGGAGUUCGACAGUCUGAAGAAUCAUGCGAGAAAUUAAUGAACAAAGUGAUAGCACCAGGGCAUCAGAGCAUGCAGGAAAAGAUUCUCUGGAAAGGAUGAAAGAUGAGCUACAUCAUCACAUGAAGAAUAACAACAUUUUCCGGAAGGCCAUGGAAGAUAUGCUGGGUGGUUUAAUAA
rnacentral:lncRNA from 1 species